GUUGUCCUAAAGACUGCAGAGCAAACACCUCUGACUGCUCUUUAUGUCGCUAAGUUAUUCCACGAGGCUGGUCUUCCUCCAGGGGUUCUAAAUGUCGUUUCGGGCUAUGGUCCGACGGCCGGUGCUGCCCUUGCUAGCCAUAUGGAUGUGGACAAGCUAGCUUUCACCGGAUCAACGAGCACAGGAAAAGUUGUACUUGAAUUGGCAGCGAAAAGCAAUUUGAAGCCAGUGACACUAGAGCUUGGAGGGAAAUCA
rnacentral:misc_RNA from 1 species